UCCUCCUGCAAAGGCGUGUUUCUGGUUGCCUGUCCUUGGACACGUAAGAAUCGGAGGCAAAGAAAUGUGGAUUUGGAAAGAUCUGGGGCCAGCUUGCUCCCCGCAGGCCCAGGAUCAACCAUCCCACACAG
ensembl:snoRNA